GCCUGGGUGGCUCAGUUGGUUGGGCUUCUGACUUUGGUUCAGGUCAUGAUCUCACGGUGUGUGGGUUCGAGCCCCACGUCAGGCU